CCGAAUAUGAGCUAGCUCGUUGAAAUAUUGAACCAAAAAAUUCAGCUCAUAUUUGCCUUACUUAUUAAAGAGCCGCACACAAACCGGCUCACGAGCAACAAAUUAAAAGGAUUAGACUUUGAUCUAAUUGUUGAGACAUUACAUAUAAAUAAACUUUUUUAUAAUUGAGUUUGCUUUAUAUUUAGAGUAGACUAAAAAUUAAAUAAUAAUAUAUUUAUUUAUUUAUAUAUAUAAAUAUAAAUUAUAUAAAAUUAUAUAAAUAUAAAAUAAAUCUAUUCGAGCUGUUAUCAAGCCGAACAUGAUCGAGCUGACCACAGCUUGUGUUCGACUCGAUUUACUAAACGAGAGAUACGAUCUUGAGCUUAUUUUGAAUUGAAUACGAGCUGACUCGCGAACAGCGAGCUAGAUCAUCACCUCAUGCACCAAAGUUUAGAAAAUGUAUUGUACAUUUUUUUUUGGAUUAAUUGCAUACAGAUCUCCGCAAAUAUAGUGAAUUGCAAAUAUAUUAUUGUAAAAUUCAACUUUUAUAAGUUAUUUCUGUCAAAAUUCUAAUAUUUUCAGAUAUGUCCCUACCGUUAGAAUCCGUUAGAAAAGUUUAGUUAAUCAUAGGUGAAAUACUUUAUCCUGAUUAAUUUUUGAUAGUUUUACCUCUCUUAUAUUAUAUUACUAUAACUUUUGAAGAGAUAUAUUUGUGAUGGCAAAAUUGAAAAUGUAAACAGUUUUCUAUCGGUUCUUUAACGGUAACAAACCAAAAGCACAUAUCUGAAAACAUUAGGCCUUUGUUUGGUUGGGGGUUAACCCUCGUAUUAUCCCCAAACACCCCGUGGGGUAAUUAGCUUACCCCACCUAACCCGGGAUAGUCCAUUUUGGGUGGGUUAGCUAACCCUACCUAGCCCCACCAAAUCCCAACCAAAUAUUAUUUUCUAUUCAUAAUAACCCACGAUCCUUUUUAUCCCACCUACUCUAACCAAAUAUUAUUUUUUAUUAUUCUGGAUUAACUCCAACCUCCAACCAAACACAAAAAUACUCUAACCGUACCUUAACCCUGAACUUAACCCUAUUUCUGGAAUAACUAGUUUUUCCUUAAUCUCGAACCAAACGGUAGCUAGAAUUUUUACAGAAACAACUUAUAAAAGUUAAACUUUACAUAUAUAUAUUCGUAAUUAUACUUAAUUAAAGAUUUCGUAUUCAAAUCCUGUUAGAAAAGUGUUGAACUAAAGGGGCAAUUGCUUAUAUAUUCUUGAAAAAUUUUCGAUUUUUUAUUUGGGUUAAAUGCAUACGCGUCUCUGUAAAUAUAGUAAAUUACAAAUAUAUCUAUGUAAAGUUUAACUUUUAUAUAUUGUCUUUGCAAAAGUUCUAAUAUUUUCAAAUAUGUCCCUUCGGUUUGUUACCGUUAUAAAAUUGUUUAUAUUUUAAGUGAAAUAUUAAUUUUACCAUCACAAAUAUGUCUCUUCAAAAGCCACAAUAGUAUAAUAUAAAAAGAGCAAAAAUAUCAAGUUAUUUUAUAAACUAACCAACCAGGGUUAAGUAUUAAACCUAUGAUUAACUAAAGUUUUAUAAUANUUAUAAUUUAUUAUAUUUUCGAGGACAUGUAUGCAAUUAUUAUUAUUAUUAUUAUUAUUAUUAUUAUUUUUUUUUUUCCCACUACUUUUCUUCGGCAUCUUUACUCACGAGUCCACUGCCGUGCGGCCGACGUCUCUCUGUCUCUCUGUCUCUCUCUCUCUCGGAGUGGCAGACUCCCGCGCGUCACGCGUACGCCUCUUUCCCCGUCACACGCUGGAAAAAUUCUAGAAUGCAACGGGUAUAUUAGUGACGUGGCGUAACAAACCAAUCAAAUUAAUCCUUUUAAAAAUAUAUGUCUCAUCAUGAUUGUAAAAAAGUAUUUUUAUUGUACUUUUGUUUGAAAAAAAAGAAUGUGAUUGGCUUGUUAUUGAUGACGUGGUGCAAGUGUGACAGUGUAGAAUCCCUC
rnacentral:lncRNA from 1 species